CCAUUAUGUUCCAGUGGACUGGGAAAGCCUGGCUAAGCCAGGUGGGGAUACUUCCUGAAGGAAAGUUGGGAGUCAGUAGGUGCUAUUGUAUUAAGGUUUCUCCUUCUCUUUGGCUUUACUAUCACUUUUUUCCUCUUUGUAAAAACUAGUGAGUUAACAUGCUGGCUCUGUUUAAACUUCUCCAGGUCUGGCAGUCUGCUUCCACAAAGUCCCUGGGCACCGAGGAAGGGCUGUGGUACAAUCUGCCUGGCCUCUCUGACAUUUUUCUCCUGUACCGUCUCCACCUUUCCUGGUGACUAGACAGCUGGAAUCUGGCCACAGGAUGGUGCUUCUGGGCUCAAGUUCUUCCUCAUUCCAUUUCCCUUGGGGUGUGUUGGCAAGAGGCGAAGAUUUCUGUCACUUGCAAGAGAAUGUUAUGUCAGGCUUUCCUAGCUGUACGGUAUUAAGUUUAUCAUUUCUUAGCUCUUGAGUAACUCCACCAUCUCCCUUGCUUCAGGGGAGGCUGGCAGUGCCCUGUGUGGCAUGUGAGUGCGGCUCUGUGAGCUCUGAGGCUGAGGCCAGACGCAAGGUCUGGAGGUUUGCUCCUUUGCUGGACGGCAGUGUUUGCCCCUGUGCCAGGUGGGCCUUUCGUUGUGGAUCUCCAUCUGCCCAGGUGUUGGUCUCUUAAGGUCUUUGUUCUAACUAGUUGUGUUCAGACUGCAUUCUCUUUUUCUCUCUUGGUUUUUCCCCUUUCUCCUGGAAGAGACCUGUGCCACCAGGAGGUGCUAAUCUGUCCUGUUUGGCUCCUUCUGAAAAACUACCAUUUUAAUGAUAAUGAAAAUCCUUUUCUUACAGGAAGAGAAGGAAGUGCUUAAACCUCCUCUGGCCUGAAAGUCUGUUGUCCUCUUGUCCUACUCGUCAUCCUGGGUGUGCAGCCUGAACCCCGGGGCCUCUAGCUACGUGUGAAGCCAGGCUGCCUGGCACAGACAGCAGGCCCAAGGUUUCUGUUGUUCUUUUCUUUUCUUUGGUUUUGCUUUUUGCUUUUUGGGACAGGGUCUGAUUUUCUAGUGCAGGGCUGGCCUUGAACUCAUAACAAUCCUCAUGGCUUAGCCUCCUGAGUACUGGGAUUCCAGGCUUGUGCCACCAUGCCUGGCUUCAAAGUAUCUAAAUAUUGCUCUGUGUACACACCAGCUGGAACUGCAUUACAGAAAGAAGCAGGGACUCGGGACGGGGCUGUUGUUCUGAGACCUCAUCUACCCUGUUCAAAGCUGCCUGUGGGGGUAGAGCAGAGGUCAUCACAACCUGAGAGUCUUUAUUGGUAAAUGAAAACGGCAGCUCCCAACCUCUGGACUGUACCUAAGCAACUCCUCUGGCAGGAUUUCCUCUCCUAUGCACAAGUUAAGACUGUCUGACUUUAUUUUAAUUUUGAGACAAGGCCUUCCUAAGUGGCCAGGUGGGACUCAAGCUUGCAGUCCUCUCACCUUAACCUCCCAGAAUGCUGGGAUUACAGGUGUGUGCCACCAGGCCUGGCUUACUGUGCACAAGACAUUCUUAAGGACACUAGCCUGUGUGUGUGUGUGCAUGUGACACAUACAUAUAUGAUUACAUGCUUGUGUGGAGAGAGUGAUAAGAUUAGUGCUCGAUGACAUUAAGCAGGAUUCUGCCUUGAGUCUUAAGCUCACAGACUUUCACUGCUUUGGUUAAGGAGUAUUGCUACCUUUCUUAAGGUCCUUGCUAAAUUCAGUUGGUAAUCUCCUGAGACAUGAAUCUAGCAGAGAUAGCAUGUGAUGCAUUUCACUCCCUAUGAAGGCUUUUCCCUACAACCUCCAGGAUUUGCUCCAGCUCCUCAGAUCCAUCUCUAGCAUCUGAGCUGCUGCACAGUUCCUGCCCAGGUGCAAUCUUUUAUUGUUGUUAUCAUGAAAAACUAGAAAAAUACCCAUUUGUGAAGUACCAAUUGAUGUCUUUGUCUUGCACCUGUACUUACUAAGGGUUAGAUUUAUUGGUCUCUUUUGGCAUUGAGUUUCAAGGGCUGCUUCCUACAGUUGCUAGUGAUUAUGAUGUUGCUAGCUCAUCCCUGGACAAAGUCCUCAGUGGGCAGGGGCCCUGGCACCCAGCAGUGUUAUCAGGCAGGGUCACAAGCCCCUCACUUUGUGGUUUCUGAGUCUUUGAGAAGUGGGAGUUAACCUGUAAUCCUCAGUGAAAGGAGCCACAAAGCACACAUUGAUUCUUUCUCUCGCCACUUCUUUUGGUUACUUUUCUCUUGUUGCUGAGACAAAAUACUUGACACCCAAAGUGAAGAGAGGAAAAGUUUAUUUAGCUUACAGUAUUUGGAGGUUUCAGUCUGUACUCUGCUGGCUCCAAGGCAGGGUGGUGUGGCACAGGGGCAACCCUUCAUGGUGGUGGCAGGUACCAAAGAUGACAAGAGCUAGCAAAGGGAAAAAAGGGAAGAGAUUGCCUUCUUCCUUAUAUUGUAUACAAGCUUCUUGCCCCAAGGUGGGUGCAGCACUCACACAGCCAAUCCCAGCAUUAGACAAUGAACCAAUCACAAAUGCUAGAUGCAGUGACUUCCAUGCCUGCAUGAGGCUUUGUGGGGACAUCCAGACACAAACCUUGACACCUGUCCUGCUUUAGGUGAUUAUGGUCUCUGAGCUCUGUUUACCCUGUGAGUCCUAGUCUCAGUUCAAUACUUGGUUUUGCUCUCAACUUUCAUUGUGAGGAUGCAAAAGCUUUUAAAAAUAUAUAUUUUAAGCUAAGUAGGAAGGACCUUAAGCUGAGGCAUGGAUUUAAGUUAGGCAUAACAGAGACCUUACAAGUAUUAAUUUUAUAAAACUGUCUCUCUCAAAACUUGUAAUAUGUCUGGCCAUAGCUGCCUGCUUAGCAGUGUGCAUAAGACUGAGGUUGAGCACUCAGUAGGGGACAGAAGGACACCCCAGAAGGGCCAAGAGAGCAGGGCCCUCUGUGGCCAGAAGGGUGUGCUGCAUGGGCCAGGCCUCCCCUUUCCCUUCCUUUUUCUUUCACUGGGCUUUUGGAAACCACUCCAAGGCCAAGGGCCUGGCCAGCAUGUGUCCCCUGUUGUCUGUUCUGCGUGUCCCAUGUCUUCUGCUGAUGAAUGAAACUGAGUGGAGCCCUCUCAGCUGCUUGCAUGCUCCUUUCUGGGUCCCUGUACAUACUUUCCCUGCAGGGGCCCACCCAGCCCAAGGGAGCAGCUGCAGCCUGCAUGGUGGGCGUCAGGGUACUGGGAAAGUCCUGGUCAAAGUCCUGGCUGUUGGUGGUAUUUGUUUCUAUGUGCAGAAAUUACUGCAUCCAUCGGUUUCCAGAAGAUGGGCACCAUAUGCCUCAGGGGGCUUCUGAGACAGCCUUUUGUAGCUUUUGAAUAGCAACAGAGCACUCAGCCACCUGCUGUAUCAUUGUCAGUGGAGGACAAGAUGAGGGCAUGUGCCCCAGCAGCCACAUACAACCCACAAGGGUGUGUAGCCAGCCAGCUUCCACUGGGGGAAGAUUCUCUGGGGGAGUGGUUGUUGCAGGGAACUUUCCCCCCUGAUGGCAUGUGGGCCCCAGAAACCUGAUACAGGCCUUGGCCAGUGAGACCUUCAAAGGCUGCUACCAGCCCACUUCCUUUCCUGGGGCUUUCUGCCACUCUGCCCUGACCUUGGCCAAUGUGGGACCCCCAGAGUCUGCUCAGGGUCCCAUCCCAUUCUCCACCCAUGACCCUGCCUCCCACAGUUUACUCAUUUCUCAGAAAGGUUUUAUCCUUGUUUUUUAGUAGAAAGUUUUCUUUGUUUUUGUCAUUUUCCCCCCAUAGCAAACCCCAAAAUUCAUUGCCAGCAUGAGGGUAUAAGGCACGGCUUCUCAACUGGGCACUGUGGGCAUUUUGGCUAAACAACCCUAGCUUUGCAUGAGACUGUGCAGCACCUCUGGCCUGUCCUCACCAUCCCUGGCAUCUCCACAAGCAGCUGGGUGACCCUCAAGCCUGGGUUGAGAACCCCUGGCUAUCCUGGUCAUCUUGUUCAGCCAGCUACAUGUUAUGGGACUGCUUGGGCCUCUGCUGGUAUGGCCUGGCUCUGUUUGAGUUUGCACAGUGUGGCAGGACCUGCUCCCCUUCCUUAGGAGCUACUAGGAAGCUCCUGUGCUCCACCCAAGUGUCAGGCGCUCCUGGUGGCCAGCCACAGGCUCUCCACUUGAUUCCCGCUGCAGAGGUCUGCAUGCUGUCCUGGGCACUCCUGUGCCUGGAGAGCCUGGAGUACACCCAGGAGGAGUCUGAGCACAGCCAGCUUGGAGGCUGCAGGACUCUUACUCUGCACCACCUGUGUGGUGAGCACCAUGCAGGCAGUGUGAUGCCCUGGCACCCUGUGAUCCUCAUCAUGCAGACCCUGGGGAGUGACACCAUGACAGUUGCUGCCUGUGACCUUCCUGGUCCACAUCCUUCCAGGAUAUGACACGCCAAGGACCCAGCUUUAGCCCCACAAAAACUGGACCAGGGAGGGUCCCAGUCUGCUGAGCCUGGGAGGAGCCACUCUCACUCCAAGCUGCAGAUGGAAGGGUACUAGGCUCUGGCUUCAGCAGCUGCCUCUUAUCCAGGGACACAAUAGCCAGCUUUGAGUAACAGUGGCUCCUCCCAGGGAGGCAGGAGGGAGAGGAUUACAGGGAGCCAUCAUGGCCAUGGUCACAGGGAAGGACUCAUCAGAUUUUGUAUAAGAGCUGGUGUGUUUCACUUUGACACCCCGAUGACCUGCACAGUGUGGACUGUCCUGGAAAUGCUUGGUUCCCACUUCUGCCACAGGUGCUCCUGUCUUUCUGAGGUGAUCCACUUCCUCCAUUUCCUGUGAUCUCACUUAGACCCCAGCCCACUGGACCUCACCCUCCCACAGCAGGCUACAGGGUUGGAGUGGGGCAGUGCUCUGUCUGGUUGUGCUGUAGUGAGGUUCUGGUCUCUGUGGGGGAUCUCAGCCAGGCCUCCAUGGGAUGGCAGGAUGGUUAGCAGCAUCGUGGACCUCCACCUGCAGGAUGCUGAGCCCACUUCCCACCCCUGGGUCUCCACAACCCAAACCAGAACUCCCCAGGCAAGGGGGUGAGAUGGGGCCUCGCUGGGAAUUGUUGCUCCAGGGCCAGAGAAAGAAGGGUCAGAAAAGUCUCACAAAACCCAAGGCUCCUAUAUUUUCUUGCUAUUACUUUUCCAUCCCUGACAGCAGCUCAGCGUCUGACCAGCACCCCCAGAUAAACUCACACAGGCUGGGGAAUGGGGAAGCUCUCAGGGAUGGUGAGGAAGGCCUGUCAUUUUAACAGCACGGACACUGCAAGGACACAGGCAAACACCCGACCCAGGCACCAUGGAAGGAAGCCAGGCAGUGCUGAUCUGUCCCAGCUCCCUCUUUCAGCCCAGGCCAGCUCUAGGCUGGGCACCAGUGGCCGAGCACUCACACAGGGAUAGGGUUGUGACCCUGGAGCCAGCCGCUGGUUUUGAACAGUCAGCCCAGGCUCCCAUGGGUCUAUUCAUAGUUAAAUUGCUUUCCCUUUUGAGUCUCAGGAACAUGGGUUCACAGUGUGUGUGGUCUGUGUCUGGUCCCCUUCUCUCAGGGCAAUGAUUCUGACUCACACAUGUGUCACACAGAUAUAUAUCUCCCAGGCCUGCCAGCUGCUGCUGUCAGCACAGAGGCCUCUUGUGAUGGCCUCAGACACAUGGGUGGCCAGAGUGUCCCUCCUUAGCAGAGCUGCUCAGCAAGGGAGAUGACAGGAAAGCUUCCCAGGAAGGCAGUGAUAUGAGUGUGAGGAUCACCAGGAAUGGAACAAGUGGUGGUCAUAAAAACUCAAGUUUAUCAUUCUCCCAAUUACUCAUGAAGUCAAACCAACACUUCAUAGAGGAUAGCAGCCCUGUGACACAGGCCCUGUGGAGGUGCAGGCAGAGAUGGUCACCCAGCACCCUGAGGUGCCCAAUGCCAGGGGCUGUGCACUUGAGGGCAAUGAGGGUGAGUUCAUGUUAGGCACCUUCUGUCCCAAUGGAAAGAAGAAUAAUGGCCAGGUACAGUGAGGUCCACGGUGAGCACAGAAAUAAAAUGUAGGAAACAGCAGCACACAGCCUGGGAAGGCAGAAAUGUCGCACUGUUUCCCUGCACACACGUGGCCUGGUGGGACACGGCUGAAGGGAGGCCUGGCUGACCAAUGGCACACGCUGGAAGGCAGCAACAUACAUGCAACAGGAUAGAGACUCAGCAGGGUGAGAGACACGAAUACCAAUCCAAAGGGAGGAGGAAAAUCAGGGAAGAGCAAACAAAGGGUGGGUAAAACAGAGCUGGAAGACAGGCUGGAACCCAGCUGAGUGAACACAGGGCAGUGAUUUGCAUUCAUCACCAAUUUCAAAGCACAGACUGUCAGGUGAGAUUAACCAUUGCACCUACAAAGAAGCUGCUUAUUAGCUUUAUUUUCCUUUUAUGUAGAAAUAGUUUCAGAUUUUAAGAAGGUCAUUGAGUUCCUAUACACUGAUCACCUGGCUUCUUCAGACAGGAGGAACGUAAGAGAUCCGAAGGACGAUGAGUGACAUUAGGAAGUGGACGUUCCUGCAGUACUGCUAAGUACAGUGGACAGUUCACCUGGGCUUCUCCCAUCUGUCUUUUACAGGACCUAUCUAGGACUCCACAUUGUGUGCAGUGACGGGGACACCGCUGUCUCCUCCCAUCUGUGGCGGUCCGCUGUCUACCAGGAACGCUGUCCUUGUUCCUCUGCACAGUCUAACAUACGUGCAUUCACCAGUGAAGUUGUCAUGGCUAAAACUCCUGGCACCAGCUUCUACCUAGACAUCAACUGUCAUCCCGUCGACUCCCCUAGACUCCAGUACAGUGCCCUCGGCCAGCAGGAAGUAGUUAAAGAGAGAAAUCUUCGCCCCUUUUCCUAAUAAUCAUAAGAUGGGAUAUGAAAGGGUUGCUGGCCCAGGCCGGAUACUGUAGCCAGUAAAGCCAGGGAGCUCUUAUCUCCCCCCACCUUUAGAAAUUACUUCUGGCACCAAACUAAGACCAGUGGGCUACCUGUACAUCCCUAAUGCCCCUUAGGUUCCACCCCAGGCUGAGGCUACUUAUAUGCCUCACUCCACGUGUUCCACAGAGAGAUCGCUGGCCCCGGGGUGGAGAUGCCAUGCCCCAGGGGGUCAGGGGUGUCUCUCCCCGCAUUCCCAAAAUAAAGGUUACUUAUAUUUUA